GUAUGUGUGCGUGUGUGUGUGUGUGUGCGUGUUUGCAGACCAAGGCAACCAGAUCCCUUCAGAGGUUCCCGGCAUCCCAGGACCCCCUGGUUCCAGAGGACCCCCUGGAGACAGAGGAUACAAAGGACUGAGAGGGGAGCUUGGAGACUGUGGCUGCCUGGGUGGAGGCACCACGGGGGGGCAGGGCCCGGCAGGAUCUCCUGGGGCUGACGGUUCUCCUGGCUACUUCGGGCGUAAGGGGGAACCUGGGGACCCCGGCACGACUGGCUCCUACGGGCAACAAGGACCAGCUGGGCGAACAGGCGAGGCGGGCUUCUUUGGACGCAAGGGGAGAAGGGGGAGUCCUUCUACCCCAACGUGGGCCGGGGUGGGAAGGGUGAGCUGGGGGCACAGGGACCCAGGGGACCCCCCGGAGACAUGGGCAGGCCAGGCAGAGACGGAACGCCUGGGUUCCCCGGUCAGCCUGGAG